GGCCUGAUGGUCUAGUAGUAUGAUUCCUUGUUAGGGUAACGUGGUGGGUAACGUGAUGUUUCCCACCGUCACGUGACUUUCGAGGAGGUCCCGGGUUCAAUUCCCGGUUAGGCCC